rnacentral:lncRNA from 1 species
UCAGCAUUGAUGAAACACAUGUCCUUCUCUGCAAUCUUGGGUGAGAUUGCUGCAAACAGUGUAGGAAACGGCAUCCAAGGAGAUUUGGGUUUCGUAGUGCUCGAACCCACACUGUUUGCGCUCCCUGAACCUCUUUCAGGCCCCUGUUUACAACCAAACAACCAAUGUAUAGAUGUUCAAUUCCUUUGGUGACAAGAUCUUAUACAAAAGAAAAAUAAUCAAAGGAGCAAACUGACGUUUGAGUCUACCUGCGGGGGAGGAAGAUCCUUGGGUCCUUCCAAAGUGACACCUGAGUUAUCAUGCCUAGCAACCAUAUCACCUGCAGGAACCAGUGUAUGUCAUCGACUUCUUAUAUUGCACAAAACAGAAUUUAAUGGAUCGAAAUACCCAUUAAACCGUGAGUAUCUCCAUCCGACCCCCGGAUGAUUCAAUCAAAGACGUGUCUCUUGAAACCAAACGUGUUUAAUAACACCGGAGGUCGUUAGGUUUUAUCACACAUGGGAUCCUUUUUUUAUUCUUUAUAAUUUUAUCGGUUGAGACCUGAGCUUCAGCCAGAUCUAUAAGCUGUCUCCCUUUCAAUGCGUCAUCAGUUAUGAUUUUAAUUUGUUGAACAAGUUCAUAUGUGAGGAAUGAAAAGGGAACAAACUAAUCACCUUCAGCAUUGUGAGGAACAGACAGCUUGAACCUAACAACAUAUUCAGGGAAUAUAUGGGUAUUCAUAUUGAUGUUCCAGACAAUGUAAUUUUUCGGAUUCUCGACAUCAUCGACUCCAUUGUCAUACUCUUCUCCACCAGAGAAAAACUGUGCUUUAUCACCACGAAGAAGCUCCAUGUUCCCCAUUAUUACACGGCACAAAACCAUGUACCGUACUCCAUUUUCGUCAAUAUCAC